UACGUAGGUCGCAAGCGUUGUCCGGAUUUACUGGGCGUAAAGAGCGCGCAGGCGGCUGGUCAAGUCCGAUGUGAAAUCUCCCGGCUCAACUGGGAAACUGCAUCGGAAACUGAUCGGCUUGAAGGUGGGAGAGGGUAGUGGAAUUCCCAGUGUAGAGGUGAAAUUCGUAGAUAUUGGGAAGAACACCGGUGGCGAAGGCGGCGCUCUGGACCGAGACUGACGCUGAGGCGCGAAAGCGUGGGGAGCAAACAGG
rnacentral:rRNA from 1 species